GCGGACGUGGUGGAAUGGUAGACACAAGGGCCUUAAAAGCCCUCGGCUAACGCCGUGCGGGUUCGAGUCCCGCCGUCCGUACCA
rnacentral:tRNA from 1 species